rnacentral:lncRNA from 1 species
GGAGUUAUUUUUGAUACUGUUUCUGAUAUUAGCCCUGAGUACUCCUGGAGUAUUUCCAAGUUUUCUAAAUGUUCUUGUGUCUUCUCCUUGUUUUGGUUUAUUUAUUCUAUUUUUUUUCUGUGCUUAUGUCACUCUGCUUUCCACCAGGUUGGAAACAGAACACAUCUUGGAGUUCCCUGCAGAAGAUUCCUGUUUCCAGACUCACCGUGUCUGGCCCCUCAGAGUACUGUUGCCCAUUGCAGUGAGCAGAAGGGAGCUCUGGCUGGGUGCUGCUCUGACCAUGCAGUGCCACGGUGUCCCUACAGCUGCAUGGCAGAGCACCGCAUCAGGCUUGCUCACAGCUGGAGGCGGGGGACAAGCUUCACCAGCAGCAUGAGCACGAAUGAGGAGAAGGGAAGUUUCCUGCUCUUCACAUUACAAGAAAAGCCUCUUCGUAUAAACUCUGCUAACAGGUUAUUAACAUCCUACAGCAAGUCAUCACUUCAGCCUAAGGGUUUGUGGAAGAAAUAAACUCUACAUGAAAACUGAAUGUAAUUAAGUCUUACAUUCAAGACCCUGAUGAGUGA